rnacentral:rRNA from 1 species
CCUACGGGCGGCAGCAGUGAGGAAUAUUGGUCAAUGGACGAGAGUCUGAACCAGCCAAGUAGCGUGAAGGAUGACUGCCCUAUGGGUUGUAAACUUCUUUUAUAUGGGAAUAAAAUGUUCCACGUGUGGGAUUUUGUAUGUACCAUAUGAAUAAGGAUCGGCUAACUCCGUGCCAGCAGCCGCGGUAAUACGGAGGAUACGAGCGUUAUCCGGAUUUAUUGGGUUUAAAGGGAGCGUAGGUGGAUUGUUAAGUCAGUUGUGAAAGUUUGCGGCUCAACCGUAAAAUUGCAGUUGAAACUGGCAGUCUUGAGUACAGUAGAGGUGGGCGGAAUGCGUGGUGUAGCGGUGAAAUGCUUAGAUAUCACGAAGAACUCCGAUUGCGAAGGCAGUUCACUGGACUGCAACUGACACUGAGGCUCGAAAGUGUGGGUAUCAAACAGGAUUAGAUACCCCUGUAGUC